UGUGUUCCUAAAAAUCAAGGAGGGAUGGGAUUUCGUUAUAUCAAAUGUUUUAAUUUGGCGUUACUCGCCAAACAGGCAUGGCGUCUGUUGGAUAAUCCUGAUUCCUUGUGUGCUUCUAUCCUACGAGCAAAUUAUUACCCCGAUGGUGAUCUGUUAAAUGCGAAGGUAAAGAAAGGCUCUUCCUUUACAUGGCAAAGUAUCAUGGCAAGCACAAACACACUGAAACGUAGCUAUAUUUGGCGAGUGGGGAAUGGACACAACAUCAAUAUUUAG
rnacentral:rRNA from 1 species